rnacentral:lncRNA from 1 species
ACAAUUUAAAGAGAGGUGGCAGGAGGCAAAGAGAGGUUGUCCGCACUGUUGUGGAGAAACGAAUCGGAAGACCUCCCUCUGACCGAGACGUGGCCACCUUCCUGAGCGGCUCCUUGGACGGCGAGUUUGCCCGCGACGGAGGCGAUAUCGCCUCGCUGUGGUCCCGCGCCCGCAAUGCCACACGCCGACUGGGUAAACGCCUGGGCUGUCGCUGGGUGUGGAAUGAGGAACGCCGGGAACUAGGAAUAUUGAUACCGCGGCUCGAGUCGGAGGACAACACUGUCAUCACCCCCGGAGCCAGAGGCAUGCUCGAGAGAUCCCUGAAGGCCGCCGUCCACGCGCUCUACAUAGACACCCUGAAGAAAAAAACAGACCAGGGUAAGGCCUUCGAGGUGACCAGCAAGUGGGACUCUAGCAACCACUUCCUCCCCACGGGCAGCUUCACCCGGUUCGCCGACUGGCGAUUCAUACACCGAGCCCGGCUGAAUUGCGUCCCCCUCAACGGAGCCGUCCGCCACGGGAACCGGGACAAGCGCUGCAGGAAGUGCGGGUACGUCGCCGAAACCCUACCCCACGUCCUCUGCAGCUGCAAGCCCCAUGCCAGAGCCUGGCAGCUGCGACACAACGCCGUCCAGGAUCGCCUGGUGAAGGCCAUUGACCCACGCCUGGGGGAAGUCGCCGUUAAUCGCACCGUCCCUGGUACCGACAGCCUGCUGCGUCCAGACAUCGUCAUCACGGACGAGGUCGGGAAAAAGGUCAUCAUGGUCGAUAUAACGAUCCCAUUCGAGAACAGGACCCCAGCCUUCCGUGAAGCCCGAGCCCGCAAGCUUGAAAAAUAUGCCCCCCUGGCUGACACCCUGCGGUCAAAGGGCUAUGAAGUUCACACCGACGCCCUGCUUGUCGGGGCCCUGGGCGCCUGGGACCCAUGCAACGAGAGAGUGCUGAGGACCUGUGGGGUAGGCCGUCACUAUGCACGGCUCAUGAGACGCCUGAUGGUCUCAGACACUAUCCGUUGGUCCCGGGACAUUUACACGGAACACAUCACCGGCCACCGCCAAUACCAAGAGCGAGCCGAUUAGACCUCGCCCACCUGCACGGGAGAAGGGACUCGCUAACUCCCACCCCCCACUGGACCUUAUCCCCCGA